rnacentral:rRNA from 1 species
UGCGGAGGAUCCGAGCGUUAUCCGGAUUUAUUGGGUUUAAAGGGUGCGUAGGCGGCCUUGUAAGUCAGGGGUGAAAGACGGUAGCUCAACUAUCGCAGUGCCUUUGAUACUGCAGGGCUUGAAUGUACUUGAGGUAGGCGGAAUGUGACAAGUAGCGGUGAAAUGCAUAGAUAUGUCACAGAACACCAAUUGCGAAGGCAGCUUACUAAAGUAUGAUUGACGCUGAGGCACGAAAGCGUGGGGAUCAAACAGG